AGCAUAUCAAUAAGCGGAGGAAAAGAAACUAACAAGGAUUCCCCUAGUAACGGCGAGUGAAGCGGGAAGAGCUCAAAUUUGAAAGCUGGCGUCUUCGGCGUCCGCAUUGUAAUCUCGAGAGUUGUUUUCCGUGCUGGACCAUGUACAAGUUCCUUGGAAUAGGACGUCAUAGAGGGUGAGAAUCCCGUACUUGACAUGGCUGCCCAGUGCUUUGUGAUACAACCUCAACGAGUCGAGUUGUUUGGGAAUGCAGCUCAAAAUGGGUGGUAAAUUCCAUCUAAAGCUAAAUAUUGGGGAGAGACCGAUAGCGAACAAGUACCGUGAGGGAAAGAUGAAAAGCACUUUGGAAAGAGAGUUAAACAGUACGUGAAAUUGUCAAAAGGGAAGCGCUUGAAGUUAGUUAUGCUUGCUGGGACUCAGCCUUGCUUUUGCUUGGUGCAUUUCCCAGUAUGCAGGUCAGCAUCGGUUUUGUCUGCUGGAUAAGGGUAAAAGGAACGUGGCACCCUCGGGUGUGUUAUAGCCUUCUACUGGAUACAGCGGACGGGACCGAGGAACGCAGCGCGCCUCACGGCGGACCUUCGGGUACCUUCGCGCUUAGGAUGCUGGCGUAAUAGCUUUAAGCGGCCCGUCUUGAAACACGGACCAAGGAGUCUAACAUGUCUGCGAGUCUUUGGGUGGCAAACCCAUAGGCGCAAUGAAAGUGAAUGCAGGUGCGAUCCGCAAGGAGCAGCAUCGACCGAUCCGGAUCUUCUGUGAUGGAUUUGAGUAAGAGCAUAUAUGUUGGGACCCGAAAGAUGGUGAACUAUUCCUGAAUAGGGCGAAGCCAGAGGAAACUCUGGUGGAGGCUCGUAGCGGUUCUGACGUGCAAAUCGAUCGUCAAAUUUGGGUAUAGGGGCGAAAGACUAAUCGAACCAUCUAGUAGCUGGUCUGC
rnacentral:rRNA from 1 species